CUCGAGACUAGCCAGCAGCAAUUAGCAAACACCUCGUGGAACUGUUCAUCUGCUGAGCUCAUUGUAGGAGCUACUACUCAGUGCAACUCUGGUGAAAAUGUUGAUAAAGAGUUAACAGAAGAGUUAAUGUUGUGAUGACUUUCUGAAGGCGGAGUUUCAUAAAGAGCAAAGUUUUAAGGCUAAUUUUGAGACCUUAAAUUAGAAAGUAAAAUUUCUUUUUAGUCAGACUUGAUAUUUAUAGCAUUUAUUUAACAACUGAAGUUAACAUAUUUACAUAAUUGUG